AACCUUCUGAAUUCAUGCUGAGAUUUCUUCAAACACCAGACCAUCAGUGCAGAUGAGACUCUCAAGAUAAGUGAGGUG
rfam:Schistosoma mattheei strain Denwood, Zambia genome assembly, scaffold: SMTD_scaffold0018817